rnacentral:lncRNA from 1 species
CCGAGCCCAAUUUGGACCUUAUAAUUUAUUUGUGUGGCCUGCAGCCAACAUUAAAUAAUAAAUGGGCCUCGACAAAUUUUAUUAUUUUGCUUCUACGAUCGACCCCGAAUGGUCCCGAUCUAUUGAAUUAAUUAAAAGUGACCUGCAGUCCAUUAAUCUGAUAAUUAAUCCAAAAUUAUUGGUCUGAAGCCCACUUUUGGACAUUAACGAUUCAAUAUUUUAUUUCUUCUCUUUGAACCGUUGACUCACUUUCGUAGUCCCGAAGCGCUCACACUUGAGUUCAUGAAGCAACCCAAAUCCACUACACUUAGUUGUAUAUUGCAUUCUGUGUUCUUGCAGGAACCUCUCUUUUAUGAACUAAACGUUCAUAAACUAAAUUGAACCUGUAGUUUCAAAUUUAGUGCCUUUGAAACCCGAAGUUUUCAUAAAACAAUACACCUAUGAAAACCCGAUGUUUUUUCAUGAAAACCAUGUCUUAGAACUUGAAUGUUCUAACUUUGAUGCUUAUGGAUGAUUCAUUCCCAUAGCACCAAUCACAAUAUUGUUCCCUCCAAUUCAGUGGAUUGUCGAACCGUCACAAGUUCGAUUUUCCU